rnacentral:rRNA from 1 species
AACGAACGCUGGCGGCAUGCCUAACACAUGCAAGUCGAACGAGACCUUCGGGUCUAGUGGCGCACGGGUGCGUAACGCGUGGGAACCUGCCCUUAGGUUCGGAAUAACUCCCCGAAAGGGGUGCUAAUACCGGAUAAUGUCUUCGGACCAAAGAUUUAUCGACUUUGGAUGGGCCCGCGUUGUAUUAGCUAGUUGGUAGGGUAAAAGCCUACCAAGGCGACGAUCCAUAGCUGGUCUGAGAGGAUGAUCAGCCACACUGAGACUGGGACACGGCCCAGACUCCUACGGGAGGCAGCAGUGGGGAAUAUUGGACAAUGGGCGAAAGCCUGAUCCAGCAAUGCCGCGUGAGUGAUGAAGGCCUUAGGGUUGUAAAGCUCUUUUACCCGGGAUGAUAAUGACAGUACCGGGAGAAUAAGCUCCGGCUAACUCCGUG